CCCUUACUAUUAAAGCUGAGGCUGAGAUUGGACUGAUUAUUUUACAAGCCAAAGACCACCAAACCAUCAAAAGGUAGGAGAAAGGCUUUCCUGCAGAUGCUGCUGCAAAGACCUGCCCCUUCCACCUUACACCACCAUCCCCAAGGGCCUAGAGGCCUCUGCCUAGAGCUGGGGGAAGAGGAGACUGCGAAGAACGAUCCCAUCUUUUAAAAACCGGACAGAAAUCACGGAUUCCUUCCACUUACAUUCCCUUGGGAAGAACUUAAUUUGGGGGCAGGGGCUAGGAAAGGGAGUGCCUGGGCAGAAACGGUUUUGACAAGCGUUCGUAUCAGGACAAUUUGGGAAAACCCAGGUGAGUGAUUACUGAGUGACCCUCGACUCCGGUGUUUUGACACCAAAAUGUGCAAGGCUUCCUCUCUGAUUCUUAAACAUCUCAGGCCAUGCCGCUCCCAUGUCACCCUCUAGUGGCCUGUGGGCUUCCUUGCCAGCUGAGCCCUAGCCCUACCCCCGCCUUUGAGGUUCCGCAGAAAUCUAGCUGCAGGGUGACUUCCACAGGUCUCACAACCCAGCCAAUAGUAACAGCUAGGUUAUUAAACACACCAUCCUCUUAGAGGUGAAAGGCUUAGCCUUGGGUUCAAUUCAUUCAGCUUUAAAAUGGAGCUAGUGAUUUGUCUCACUUGAAGAUGUUGUAGAGCCCAGUGAGAUAUGUAGUGCAUGGAGAUUGGAAGGUACUGUGCAGCAGAGGACAUGGACAGUGCAGGCUCAAGAAGAUCUUGUGACCUUGAGCAAGUCACUUUUCCUCCCUGUUCCUCAGUGUGCUCAUCUACAAAAUAGGAGUAAACACAGUAGCGUUUCCCCCUUCCUAGGGGUGCCUUGUUUUCAGCUUGGCUGAAUGUUGGCUGAUCCUGUAUCACAGAAGUUAUUCCCUGGCUUCUCUUUGGAACAUUCCUCUGAGGUUGUCAGGCUGAUCCCUUUAUAGCAAGCAACUUUACAGAUGCAGAAGCUAAGACUCAGACUAAAAGCAGCUUGCCCUGCUAGGAAAUGCAGAGCUAUGUCUUUAACAUAUGGGAAACCCUUUUACCCAGGACCUGGGGCAGUGUGGUGCUCUAUCCUGGGAUCUCCUGCCUCCCAGCAGCAUGGCGAAGAAAGAACACAAAUCUUUCAGAUCUGUUUCCAUCUUUAAACCUCUGGCACCACCUGUCCUGCCCUGCCCUUUCUCUCAGCUGUCAGCUUUGCUUCCCAUUCCACUGGGAAAAUCCAUGCAGUCAGAUGAGAACUUCACAGGCACAGUUACCCCCUCCCCCUGCAUAUGUGCCCACAUUAUCUACAUUCUGUUACUAUGAACUGUCUGCUCCUGGCAAAACCAACCUCUCAUUAGACCCCAGACCUUCUCACUUACUGAAGGGUAAUUUCCUUUCUCUGCAUCAUUAACUGUUCUCUCUAAUGGAUCUUGAGCCCUUACCAUUCAGGCGUUUGUCCCUAAUGGCCAUGGAAGUCAGUAGUGACCUCUCUGUUGUCAAAUCAUGUGAUCUGUUCUCAGACCUCAUCCUACUUGGCCCAUCUUUGGCAUCUGACACCGUUCAUCCUUCCACCCUGUUGACACACUUUGUUCUCUGGUUUCUGAAUCACAAUUCUCACUAUACUCUGAAUGUUCUAAAUACUUCACUGGCUGAUACUUCUGUGUCCAUUGCUGGUUCCUUCUUGGCUCCUCAACUGCUAAACACUGGCCAUGUUUUUCACUAGCACAGUUGGAGUUGUCUAUGGCUCAGAAUGUGGACAUUUCUUUUCCUCUACAACCAUCCCGUGGAUGACCUAAUUUAGUGUCCUGACUUUAACUACCAUCAAUAUCCUGAUGGCUCACAUUUCUCUUGCAGCGCAGAUUUUCCCCUCAACUCUAGUUUUUAUAUCUGUCUUUGUACUCAAAAGCUCCAUAUAGAGAUCUAAUAGGCAUCUAAAAGUGGCAUAUGCAAAUCUGAGUUCCCCAUCCCACCCAGUCCUGUUUUCCCACAAGUGUUCUUUAUCUAGUUAAUGGCGACUCUUAUUCCACUUGUUCAGACCGAACAUAUGCGGUCACUUGUGUCCCCUCUUAUUCUCCUAGUCAACAUCCAAUUGAGCAGCAAGUCCAGUGCUCUCUGCCUUCAAGUUAGUUAUAUUGAGAAUGACCACUUUUAGGCCCCUCCUCUGAUACUACAUUGGGUCAAGCCAGUGUCAUCUCUCAGCAUUACUGGGACUUGGGUUAAUUAGGUAAGAUGAAACAUGAAGGAUUAGAAAUAAAGGCUGAAUACAGACUUAAAACCAGGAAUCCAGACUAAACACUCAAACAUGGAGUCCAUCGUGGCCCCAGGGCCUUUGCGCUUGGCAUUCUCUCCAUCUGGAACACUCUGCCCAUUGCGUUAGUUGUUCUCUAAAUGCCUUCAGGCAUUCUCAGAAACGUCCUGACUUUGUCUUCCUUCAUGGUACAUGUCAUCACCUGCCUGUGUAUUGUUUCCUUAUUUUUUUCUCUUUCUUUCCUACUAGGCUGUCAGCCCAUCAGAAUGGAGACUUCUGCCUGCUUCUCCCCUUGGUGUGCCUUGGUUUCUGGAACAGGCCCAGCAUGCAGUGGGGUCUCAGUGAAUGUGCACUGAAGGAGUAGAUACUGGAGAGCACAAACACGUAUCAGGUGGCAGCACAGGAAAGGUGCUUGCUCAGAGUACCCCUCCCUCUGCCUCCUGACGGACCC
ensembl:lncRNA ACAD9-DT ACAD9 divergent transcript